rnacentral:rRNA from 1 species
AAUGAACGCUGGCGGCAGGCCUAACACAUGCAAGUCGAACGGGUCCUUCGGGACUAGUGGCGGACGGGUGAGUAACGCGUGGGAACAUACCCUUUGGUACGGAAUAGCCUCGGGAAACUGGGAGUAAUACCGUAUGUGGUCGAGAGACGAAAGAUUUAUCGCCAAAGGAUUGGCCCGCGUUGGAUUAGGUAGUUGGUGGGGUAAUGGCCUACCAAGCCGACGAUCCAUAGCUGGUUUGAGAGGAUGAUCAGCCACACUGGGGACUGAGACACGGCCCAGACUCCUACGGGAGGCAGCAGUGGGGAAUAUUGGGCAAUGGAGGAAACUCUGACCCAGCGACGCCGCGUGCGGGGAUGAAGGCCUUCGGGUUGUAAACCGCUUUCAGCAGGGAAGAAGCGAAAGUGACGGUACCUGCAGAAGAAGCACCGGCUAACUAUGUG